GGGCAUAGUGGCAUGCGCCUGUAGUCCCAGCUACUUGGGAGGCUGAGGCAGGAGAAUUGCUUGAACCCAGGAGGCGGAGGUUGCAAUGAGCUGAGAUUGCGCCAUUGCACUCCAGCCUGGGUAACAGGAGCAAAACUCUAUCUAUCUCAAAAAAAAAAAUAUAUGGUGACCACCAGGGAGCAUGGGACCACCAGGUUGCCUAAGGAGGGGUGAACUGGUUCAGGUUGGAAACAAAGCGGGUCAAAACUUCUGUGCUGGUCGGUAGUGGGAUCACGCCUGUGAAUUACCACUGCAUUCCAGCCUGGUCAACAUAGCAAGACCCUAUCUUU
rnacentral:SRP_RNA from 1 species